GAUGAACGCUAGCGGGAGGCCUAACACAUGCAAGCCGAGCGGUAGAGUCUCUUCGGAGACUUGAGAGCGGCGCACGGGUGCGGAACACGUGUGCAACCUGCCUUUAUCUGGGGGAUAGCCUUUCGAUAGGAAGAUUAAUACCCCAUAAUAUACUGGAUGGCAUCAUCUGGUAUUGAAAACUCCGGUGGAUAGAGAUGGGCACGCGCAAGAUUAGAUAGUUGGUGAGGUAACGGCUCACCAAGUCAGCGAUCUUUAGGGGGCCUGAGAGGGUGAUCCCCCACACUGGUACUGAGACACGGACCAGACUCCUGCGGGAGGCAGCAGUGAGGAAUAUUGGACAAUGGGUGAGAGCCUGAUCCAGCCAUCCCGCGUGAAGGACGACGGCCCUAUGGAUUGUAAACUUCUUUUGUAUAGGGAUAAACCUAGAUACGUGUAUCUAGCUGAAGGUACUAUACGAAUAAGCACCGGCUAACUCCGUG
rnacentral:rRNA from 1 species